AAAAAUCCUAACCCUAUUCCUUUAAUUCACGUUGCAAGUAAAGGGAAAAUCUUUGGAGUCUUUGUUGAAGGAUUCUGUGGCUGCUAUUUGUGAAAAAGCGAGAAGGAGGAAGAAAAUCAUGGAUCUGCCAUUCCAUUCGAGUGAAGCUAAAGGUGUUGGAAGAUAUUUAAAUGAGAGAGAUAGAAGUGAUUGAUUGAAGGGAGCCAUAUGGAUUGCUUGCGAUGACAAGUUUGGUAUUUCUACACGAGUACUGUGAAUAAGAACUCAGGUGGUAUUGAAGAGGAUUUCAUUAACUAGAAAGUGUGAUUUGGUAGCACCUGGUGAGCCUCGCAUUGCUUCGCGUGGCAAGAGAACUAUUGAUUUGCUAUGGUGUGUCAAUUCAAAAGUGGGCAAGUAAUUGGGACAGAGGGAGUAUUAGAUUCUCAUUGAAGAACAACCCUGCAUCUAACUUCCAGUUCUAGUUUAAUUUGCAUUGUUCCAUGGGUCGCACUAAGCUUGUGAUGAAGAAAAUUGAGGAUCCAACAUCCCGUCAACAGUUCUAUUCAAAGCGCAAGGAUACCAUUCUUAAGAAGUCAAAUGAGUUGGCUGUUUUAUGUGAUGUUGAUGUUGGUCUUCUAAUGUUUUCUCCAGCGGGUGAAGUGACCAGCUAUUCUAGCAAAGAAAGUCUUGAGGAUGUCAUGCUCCUUGCUAUGAACAAGGCUGGCGAACUGAACAAGCGAUCUCCUGAAAAUCCAAAUGAACAGCCUUUGACGGAGAUUCUCACACAAUCAAAACAUGAAGGCAAAAUGGUGGAAAAGAUAGCGAUGUAUACCACUCUCCUCUUGCACUCUGUGUGUAUAUGUAUUAGUCUAUUAGUUUGUUAGAGUAGAUACAUGACUUCUCAAGUUUAUUUCUUUUGCUUUUUGUAUGGUAUUUUCUACAUGAUUGAAUAACUUUUGUCUCUUUUGUUGGGUAUUUUUACAAUGCUGAUGAUUGAUCAACGUGCUUUAGUGUUGAGAGCCAUGAGGAGAAGCUUAAUAAGCUUAAAGAAAGGCUAAGUGAAGCACAACAGAAAAUAAGGUAUUACGAACCACAAGUGGAGAAUAUCAACUCUGUCCAAGAAGCUGAUGCAUAUGAGAAGUUCAUUAGGAGUGCUAUGGAACUAAUUCAACUAUCAAAAGCAAAACUCUUGGGUGGCCAGGAAUUUCUCCAGAGAAAUGAAAAUGUUGCGGUGUCUUCUGUCAACGCAGAGGAUAUGGCUGCUGCAGGAACCAGUAGGGGACGGAUGUAUUGAGGAAACAGGGCCGGAUCGCGGCGGGGAAGUAGCUGCGAGUGUCCAACAGCUGCAACAGGAAUUAUGUUAUACUAGUUUAUAGGUUAAGAACUUGGUAGAAUAAAUAACUUGCCCCUAUCAGGCAAGCAAAAGUAUGAAUAAUGUUGCAUUUGUCUAUUGUGAAUGCAACUUUUAGAGUUCUUGUAUGGCAUCAAAACAUAGGUAUUGUGUUUUGAAAUAGAAAACAAUUUGGUUUGGUUUCGAUAAUUUUUUGCAUCCUUCUAGUUCAU